AGCGUUCCCAGAGGGUGGUUAUCAGUGUUUCACAGUCAAGCUGGAAGGGAAUAUCAAGUGGAGUCCCUCAGGGAUUAGUUCUGGGUCUAGUUCUGUUCAAUAUCU